AAGUCGUAACAAGGUAACCGUAGGUGAACCUGCGGUUGGAUCAUUAAAAAAUGUUUGGUCUCGUGCCAAAUCAACAUUUGUGUGCACCAUUGUCUGUCCUUGGUAGUUCGAGUCGCGCUCGGCCGAUCUCAACAAUCGGUGAGCGCCUACCCCUUAGGGGGUUGGGCUACCGCCUUUUUGAACAAACCUUCAUGUUGUUUUCUUUUGUGCCUGAACGAAAAGUUAAUCUUUUUUGAUUAAUGAUUCUUAUACAACUUUUGACAACGGAUCUCUUGGCUCUC
rnacentral:misc_RNA from 1 species